rnacentral:rRNA from 1 species
UACGUAGGUGGCAAGCGUUGUCCGGAUUUACUGGGCGUAAAGAGCGCGCAGGCGGUGUGUCAAGUCAGGCGUGAAAGCCCCGGGCUCAACCUGGGAACCGCGCUUGAGACUGGCACGCUCGAGUUCGGGAGAGGAUGGUGGAAUUCCCAGUGUAGAGGUGAAAUGCGCAGAUAUCAGGAGGAACACCGAUGGCGAAGGCAGCUCGCUGGGACGGUACUGACGCUGAGACGCGAAAGCGUGGGGAGCAAACAGG